AGUUUUGUGCAUUGGCAGUAUGGUAGCCAAUGAGGUUUAUCCAAGGCACAAUUAUUGCUUAUUAAGAAAUGUUCUCUGGCAUCAGUGGAUUGAUUCCCUGCUUUUGAGUUAGGUGCUGGUAUAGUCCUCUCUGGGA